GACGAACGCUGGCGGCGUGCUUAACACAUGCAAGUCGAGCGGUAAGGCCCUUCGGGUACACGAGCGCGAACGGUGAGUAACACGUGGUGACCUGCCCUCAGCUCUGGGAUAAGCCUGGGAAACCGGGUCUAAUACCGGAUAUGACCAUUGAAUGCAUGUCUGGUGGUGAAAGCCAGUUACUUUUGUUCUGGCGGCUGGGGAUGGGCCCGCGGCCUAUCAGCUUGNGGUGGGUGA
rnacentral:rRNA from 1 species